UACGGGGGGGGGCAAGCGUUGUUCGGAAUUACUGGGCGUAAAGGGCUCGUAGGCGGCCAACUAAGUCAGACGUGAAAUCCCUCGGCUUAACCGGGGAACUGCGUCUGAUACUGGAUGGCUUGAGUUCGGGAGAGGGAUGCGGAAUUCCAGGUGUAGCGGUGAAAUGCGUAGAUAUCUGGAGGAACACCGGUGGCGAAGGCGGCAUCCUGGACCGAGAUUGACGCUGAUGCGCGAAAGCCAGGGGAGCAAACGGG
rnacentral:rRNA from 1 species